rnacentral:lncRNA from 1 species
UGUAUCGAUUGUUGAGAUCUGGCGACUUGUUUAAAUUUCAUCAGCCUCACUUCUAUGAACUCUCAGAGCUGAUUACCAACUCCUACCACUGUUAACCCUCAUCCAGGAAAAAGCUUAUGUCUUUAACAUUCUGAGUGGGCUUCAGCAUCCUUGCAUAUGUUCAAUUCUUAAAAACCUGUUGAAAUAAAAGAUCAGGAGACAUAGGAAGGAUGCCAGAAGAGAGCGUGGCCUCAUGUGUACCAGCUCUCUGCUCUCCUUUGCCUUGGGACGUUCCAUCCCUGGAAGUUUCCCUGCCCACAUCUUUGUAGAGAGUCCAUUCUCCAAGCUUCAGUGUGUCAUCUGUGAGGACUGUGACCAACCUGGUACAUCGCCUCAGGGCAUUCAUUUCAGGCUCCUUCUAAAUGGUCAAGUCUUCUGUCAGCCUAACAAGCAUAGCAAGAAGAUAUAGCCCCACAACCACUUUAUGCACAAAGUUAGAAGCAUAAAAUCUCAUGGAAAGAGACCGAUUAUCCACAGAAGAGGUUGUCUUGCCAUUUCUCUCAUGUUAGAGGUAAACCUCAGGUUCUCCUCCUGCCUUUUGCUAAGUAUAUGUCUUGAUGACAAGCCUUCUGCUGAUGAGCUGUGUUUCUGGACCGAUCAUGGUAGAAGUCAAUUAACGUGUCCCUCACUUGGGGUUUCUCAAGGUCAUCUAUGAACUGACUCUGUCUCAAAAAAAAAAAAGAAAAAAAAGAAAAGAAAGAACGAAAAAAAAAAACUAGGACAUGGCUAACAGGAAUGGGGACAAAGAAUCUGCACUGAUGAGGAAACUGAAACAGAAAAUCCAGAGUAAAUUCCACCAGGCCACACAGCAAGGUCUGAUAGAGCCAGGAGAGACUUUAUGAAAUCCAGACUCUCACACUAAUGCUCUAUCAGCUAGACCUCCAUGUGAGUCUCCCCAAUGUAGGUAGGAAGUGCUUUCCC